GAACUGCGAUACGCAAUGCGAAAUGCAGAAUCCGCGAGUCAUCAGAUUUUCGAACGCAAUUGGCACUAGGGGCUAAAUACCUCUAGUAUGUCUGUCUCAGCGUUGACUUAAUUAUCCUCUAAAUGUCAUUGCAAAGUAAUUUGCUCUGAUUAAAAAACAGUGGUCUGCAAUCGACCCAACGCAGUAGGCCUUAGGGCACUCGUUGCAAGUUGACUGAGUGAACACAGAGAUUAAGUGUCUUUAAAAAUAAUUAAAACCUGAGAUUGGCAAGAUUACCCGCUGAACUUAA
rnacentral:misc_RNA from 1 species